rnacentral:rRNA from 1 species
GACGAACGCUGGCGGCGUGCCUAAUACAUGCAAGUCGAACGCAGUGGGGAUGGGUGAGUAACACGUGGGUAACCUCCCAUCAGAGGGGAUAACACUUGGCAACAGGUGCUAAACCGAUAUUGAUGGAUGAACCCGCGGUGCAUUAGGUAGUGGGUGAGGUAACGGCUCACCAAGGCCACGAUGCAUAGCCGAGCUGAGAGGGUGACCGGCCAAACUGGAACUGAGACACGGCCCAGACUCCUACGGGAGGCAGCAGUGGGGAAUCUUCGACAAUGGGCGAAAGUCUGACCGAGCAACGCCGCGUGAGUGAAGAAGGUUUUCGGGUCGUAAAGCUCUGUUGUUGGAGAAGCGGUAUCUAACCAGAAAGCAACGGCUAACUACGUGCCAGCAGCCGCGGUAAUUC